rnacentral:rRNA from 1 species
UUCGUCUAACGGAAGCAGAGGAAAGUGGCGGACGGGUGAGUAACGCGUGAGGAACCUGCCUUGAAGAGGGGGAUAACGGCUGGAAACGGUCGCUAAUACCGCAUGACGUGUUCGGAUGGCAUCAUCUGAACAUCAAAGAUUUAUCGCUGAAAGAUGGGCUCGCGUCUGAUUAGCUGGUUGGUGAGGUAACGGCCUACCAAGUCUACGAUCAGUAGCCGGACUGAGAGGUUGAACGGCCACAUUGGGACUGAGAUACGGCCCAGACUCC